rnacentral:rRNA from 1 species
UACGAAGGGGGCUAGCGUUGCUCGGAAUCACUGGGCGUAAAGGGCGCGUAGGCGGCCGAUCAAGUCAGGGGUGAAAGCCUGUGGCUCAACCACAGAAUUGCCUUUGAUACUGUUCGGCUCGAGACCGGAAGAGGUAAGUGGAACUGCGAGUGUAGAGGUGAAAUUCGUAGAUAUUCGCAAGAACACCAGUGGCGAAGGCGGCUUACUGGUCCGGUUCUGACGCUGAGGCGGCGAAAAGCGUGGGGAGCAAACAGG